ACUCCUACGGGAGGCAGCAGUAGGGAAUCUUCCGCAAUGGACGAAAGUCUGACGGAGCAACGCCGCGUGAGUGAUGAAGGCUUUCGGGUCGUAAAACUCUGUUGUUAGGGAAGAACAAGUACGAGAGUAACUGCUCGUACCUUGACGGUACCUAACCAGAAAGCCACGGCUAACUACGUGCCAGCAGCCGCGGUAAUACGUAGGUGGCAAGCGUUAUCCGGAAUUAUUGGGCGUAAAGCGCGCGCAGGCGGUUUCUUAAGUCUGAUGUGAAAGCCCACGGCUCAACCGUGGAGGGUCAUUGGAAACUGGGGAACUUGAGUGCAGAAGAGAAAAGCGGAAUUCCACGUGUAGCGGUGAAAUGCGUAGAGAUGUGGAGGAACACCAGUGGCGAAGGCGGCUUUUGGUCUGUAACUGACGCUGAGGCGCGAAAGCGUGGGGAGCAAACAGGAUUAGAUACCCUGGUAGUCCACGCCGUAAACGAUGAGUGCUAAGUGUUAGAGGGUUUCCGCCCUUUAGUGCUGCAGCUAACGCAUUAAGCACUCCGCCUGGGGAGUACGGUCGCAAGACUGAAACUCAAAGGAAUUGACG
rnacentral:rRNA from 1 species